rnacentral:rRNA from 1 species
UACGUAGGGUGCAAGCGUUAAUCGGAAUUACUGGGCGUAAAGCGUGCGCAGGCGGUUAUGCAAGACAGAUGUGAAAUCCCCGGGCUCAACCCGGGAACUGCGUCCGAUACUGGGGGGCUUGAAUCCGGGAGAGGGAUGUGGAAUUCCAGGUGUAGCGGUGAAAUGCGUAGAUAUCUGGAGGAACACCGGUGGCGAAGGCGGCAUCCUGGACCGGUAUUGACGCUGAGGCGCGAAAGCUAGGGGAGCAAACGGG